CCCUCCCCUAUGCUGUCCUCUCCAAGAUGCCAACUGCCCCUGCGCCCCUCCCCUGCCCCAUCUUCUCCAAGAUGCCAACCUCCCCUGCGCCCCUCCCCGUCCCUCCCCUGCCCCAUCCUCUCCAAGAUGCCAACCGCCCCUGUGCUUCCUUGGGAACGGAACGGAGUGUGACUCUGUCCUCAGGCUGUGUCACUGGUCCCUGUCUCAUCCGACCACAGAUCUGAGCACCACCUGAGCCUAUUUCUAAGUAAUUCAGAGGACAGAGGCAACGUGCCACAAAACUGUGGGAAAGACCCCCGGACCUCCUAACCCACGCCUUUAAUGGGGUGUGGGGUGGUCUGGUGCCCUCAGGGUGCCAAAGGUGUAUUGAAAUCUCGCGAUGAUCGCACUGUCAUUUAGCCUAUUUUACAGAUGGGACUGAACCUGUUUGUGUGUGGUCUGCCACUGAGCCUCACUCCCAGUCUCCACGCUGCAGAGGAGAAACGGACAUCGCCAAUGUGUCCGAGGUCACACAGCUCCUAGGACAUUGGUGACCCUGACAAAGUCAGAACUAUAGCAGGACCGGAGGCCAGACACAGAACCUGGAGAAUGAAAGAAGCUACAGAAAGAAGCUGGCUGGUGGCACAGUCUUGGGGAAGCUUGGUGAGAUGGCACAAAAAAAUUUGGAAGGCUAAUCAAGAAGCAUCCAGGAGGACUUGCUGCGUCUUUACAGGUUACAAGAAUGUUGUGGAAUCGAUAGGCAGAAGGUUUGGGGGAGCCAAAGCAGGAAGUGACAACAAUUAGCCCUCACUAGCACUCACUAUGAGCCAGGCCAGUGUCAUGCUGUCUCUGUGGCUUUUCUCAUCCCUUCCUUCCAUCUGCUCCCCGUGGGAAGGCCAAAACAGCCCUGAGCUUAAAGUCUCCGAACACAUGGUUAGGUGAUCCUAUCGUACUGUGGCUUCUUCUUUUCUAAAAUUUAUUUAUUUUUACUUUUAUGUGCAGUGGUGUUUUGCCAUGGAUGUCGGGUCCCCUGGAACUGGAAUUACAGACAGGUGUGAGCAGUCAUGUGGGUGCUGGGAAUUGAACCCAGGUCCUCCAGAAGAGCAGUCAGUGCUCUUGACCACUGAGCCAUCUCUGCAGUCCUGGCUGUUAGUGUCUUAACAGGAAGGAACUCUGGUUGAAGAACCAGGACUGGGCAAUGGAAAUAGGCUCUGCAAAUGCACCUGGCAUCCUCAGGAAGCUAAGGCUUGGCAUGGUUGAUAACCGUCCUAGUAGCGUGGCUGGUGUGGGGUGUCGGCCGCAGCAUCUCCAGGAACGCUUCCUCCACCCUCCCCACCCACCCACUGUUCUGCAACAUGAAGGAGCAUAGUAGAAAUGAAGAAAAUGUCUUCGGUUUUAGAAUUGACCCAGUUGGAAUGAUAAAUUGCAUAUUCAGCCUACUUAGAGGAGGAGGAAAUGUAGACAAAAAUACCACAGAAAGGACAAGUAGGAACUGGUCCACUUGGACCAGGUGUGGCACUGAUGAGCUUGAGAAGAGUGGAAAAGAGAAUGAGAUGUGUCUAACCUUUGGAUGUUGGAACAUCACGUUGUCUACGGAACUCAUGCUCAGAAACCACAUAACCAAGUCUCAUGUCCUCCCCGUCAUACUUUAAGUUCAUGAUUUUGUGUUCAGCUGCAACCGCAGCUGCCUUGCUGGGCACAGCUCACUGGGUCACGCUGAAGUCUGAACAAACGGUGAUAGAGGUAAGAAACGUGCCCGAGUCUUCACGGAAGCCCAGCUGGAGCCAAUGGAGAGGGCGACUCCGGGAGUAUCACAGCUUCCUAGCUCCAUUCAGGGUGGAAGGGAUUUUGAGUGUAUCCAGACUGGACGAGAAGAAAGCCACCAGAUAGAGACACUGACAGACAAUGGGGAACCCUGUGAUGAAUCAAGGUCUUUGGAGAGUCAGGAAGGAGAGCAACAUUCCAGACAGAAGGAGAAGAGCCUAGAAAUGAUGCUGACAAUUUAGGAAAAGUUACCAUAAAUUAAUCAGUUGGUGGGUUUCUGGUGACAGAG
rnacentral:lncRNA from 1 species